ensembl:lncRNA
CUUUCAGUCUCACACAUUAAAAUGGGAUGCUGAAGACACUCAGAGGAAAUCCCAAUGAUGUUGAUCUGGAGUUCUGAUAUCUAAUGCACUGAGAGGUCCUGCUUUUUAAAUUUUGUUGUGAAGAUCUGUCCAUUAAUGAUAUUCAGAGUAAGGUCAACCCAGUGGGCCAGAAGAAGAGAUGCUCCUCCACAAGCCCCGAUUCAGCUCCCCCACAAAAAUCUCCACGUACCGAUUCCUUAUCGUCUUCAACACAGAGGACGAAUACAGAAAAACAGUCAGAGACAGACAUGCAAAAAAUGCUGAUGGAAGACACAGGAAAACUCAUGAGCCCAACUGCUGAGACAAAAUCCUGGAGAAGAACCACCAUUACUAGGCGGUCCCUCUCAGCCCCUCCAAACCCUUAUCAGGCUUUGUGCAGCGGCAUAAGUACAUCGUUGUCAAAUCAAGAGAGGCUCGAGAAGCUAUUGGAGGCUUCAGUGAAGCUGGCACUAGAAAGAACUCAAAACAUGCUCCUGUCAGUUCCACAAGCUUCCAUUGAGACUUUUAAAAAACAAGUGGAGUACAUCCAGGCCCAGGGCAGUUCCCUGGCAACAAGCAUACCCAAUGAUUCACAUAAACUCCAGUCAAUUCAACCCAGUGAACCUACAAUGCAAAAAGCCAUGAAAAAUGUCCAGAAAGCAAUUGAAAGGCUCAGUAGCGAAAGUGAGUCCUGGGAUGUACUGUUGACCAAACACCAAAGAAAAGCAGAGGAAUUGGAACAGAAGCUCCAGAGGGGGCAGGAGACAGGCAUACAACUAAACUCUACAUCCAUGUCCCAGUCCUCCCAGUACCCUCUCAUACAGAGUAAACCUGACUACCACAGUAUCCUCUCUAGGCAACGACCGAUGAUACACACUAUGGCAACAAUUAUUGACACUCAGUGUAAGAUAGUAAGACAACUGCUGUCCAUUAAGGAGCAAUCCCAGUUGUUUGUGAAGGAGACCAGUGGCCGGCUGGCUGAAGAGGCAGGGUUCCAGGAUCUUUCAUCGGAUCUCCUGAGAAAUCUCAUGUCUGCGCCUUUACCAACAGCAUCUACAUAAACAGCCUGUCCUCUACUGGACCGUGACUGUAGGACUCGGGUCUGAAGCUUUAGUUUAACAUUUUAAAAUAUAUAAAUGCAGAAAGUUUUUUGUCUUGUUUAAUUAAAAAUAAUUUCACACUUCCAAGAAAAUUAUUUGUCAGGUGCAUGUAAUGCAUGCAUUCGGUCAGCAGGGGGCAGUGGCUAGCUAAAUACAACAUUGUGGGACUCCUGACAUAAUCUUGGUACAUUUGUUUAUUAAGCCGUAAUAAGAUUCUCACUUGUAAGUUUUUAAAGUGUUUAAACCACACACCAAGAGAAUAUGUGAAGUGUUUCUGAAACCCUGGCAGCAUCUAGCAGACUUAGUUCAACUCGUUUUUCUUUUUAGUGUACUCACUUUUCUCCUGACCCAGAAAAGUGAUUUAACCAUGUAUUUGAAUUGAGAAAGGUGAUACCAAAAGUCCAAACUUAUCUGGGAGACGUGGUAUUAAAAAAGCAAAAGUUCCUAAAGUCUAUUUGAUUAAAUUUGAGUUAGUUGCCCAUUUUUUUAUUUACUCACAAAAAUGAAAUAGGCAUUAAAGUAUAUGUGGUGUAAUUAAGAAAAAUAAACAUCCCACUUACUGUAAGUCAUUUUUUCUUGUUUAAAAGGGACUUGCUCAACUGAGAGAUCAGGAGAAAAACUGACUUUUAAUCUAUUCUGUUUACUUUGUAUACAGCUCUUAGAGGCUCAUCCACGGAUGCAUUUAGUCCAUUUUGGUGCUUCAUCUAUUUCACUUCAUCAGUGUCCCUUGACCAUACAAGAGAGGGCCCAUCCCCCAUAGUGACUCACCCCCAUCUCUUGCUUGGCUUGGUCAUUGAUGCAGAACGAAGCUUUGACAUUGUACCA